rnacentral:rRNA from 1 species
AAACAUUCAACAACGGAUCUCUUGGUUCUGGCAUCGAUGAAGAACGCAGCGAAAUGCGAUAAGUAAUGUGAAUUGCAGAAUUCAGUGAAUCAUCGAAUCUUUGAACGCACAUUGCGCCCCUUGGUAUUCCGAGGAGCAUGCCUGUUCGAGCGUCAUU